rfam:Prochlorococcus phage P-SSM7, complete genome.
GACUCAGUAGCUCAAAGGAUAGAGCAAUUGCCUUCUAAGCAAUUGGUUGUAGGUUCGAGUCCUACCUGAGUCG